GAGAAAUCCAGAGCUUGGAAAUCAAUGUUUGGGGCCAUGUCACUAUCAACACUGAUUGCUGGAACCCUUGAAUUUUUCCACAUGGUGAUCGCUCGCAGCU
rnacentral:sRNA from 1 species